rnacentral:rRNA from 1 species
GACGAACGCUGGCGGCGUGCUUAACACAUGCAAGUCGAACGGAAAGGCCCUGCUUGCCGGGUACUCGAGUGGCGAACGGGUGAGUAACACGUGGGUGAUCUGCCCUGCACUUCGGGAUAAGCCUGGGAAACUGGGUCUAAUACCGGAUAGGAGCCAUUUUUAGUGUGAUGGUUGGAAAGUUUUUUCGGUGUAGGAUGAGCUCGCGGCCUAUCAGCUUGUUGGUGGGGUAAUGGCCUACCAAGGCGGCGACGGGUAGCCGGCCUGAGAGGGUGGACGGCCAAAGGGGGGAGGGAGAGAAGGCCAAGACCCCAGGGGGGGGAAGGAGGGGGAAAGAGGGAAAAAGGGGGGAAGGCUGGAGGCGGCGGGCCGGGGGGGGGGAUGACGGCCUGGGGGUAGAAAACUCUUUAGGAGAGGGAAGAAGUUUUUGGGGAGGGGACAAAAAAAAGAAACCCGGAAAAACUAGGGG